UACAGAGGUCCCAAGCGUUGUUCGGAUUCAUUGGGCGUAAAGAGUGCGUAGGUGGCAUGGUAAGUCGGGUGUGAAAUCCCGGGGCUCAACCCCGGAACUGCACUCGAUACUGCCGUGCUCGAGUACUGGAGAGGAGACUGGAAUUUACGGUGUAGCAGUGAAAUGCGUAGAUAUCGUAAGGAAGACCAGUGGCGAAGGCGAGUCUCUGGACAGUUACUGACGCUGAGGCACGAAGGCCAGGGGAGCAAACAGG
rnacentral:rRNA from 1 species